ACGCUUAUGAUUUUUCUUUGUGUUUUCUCCUGAAUUAUUAAUGAGUUUUUAAAAUUAUUUUAAAAAACUCAUUAAUAAUUCAGGAGCAAAACACAAAGAAAAAUCAUAAGCGU